UCAGUUCAGACUGCAGGCUGCAACUCGCCUGCACGAAGUCGGAAUUGCUAGUAAUCGUAGGUCAGCAUACUACGGUGAAUACCGGUUCCCGGGCCUUGUACACACCGCCCGUCAAACCAUGAGAGUUGCAACACCGAAGUCGGUAGUCUAACCGCAAGGAGGACGCCGCCGAAGGUGGGGUUGAUGAUUAGGGUUAAGUCGUAACAAGGUACC
rnacentral:rRNA from 1 species